UACGUGGGGUGCAAGCGUUGUUCGGAAUUACUGGGCGUAAAGCGCGUGUAGGCGGCGCACUAAGUUCGAUGUGAAAGCCCUGGGCUCAACCCAGGAACUGCAUUGAAAACUGGUGUGCUUGAGUCCGGGAGAGGGUCGCGGAAUUCCUGGUGUAGCGGUGAAAUGCGUAGAUAUCAGGAGGAACGCCUGCGGUGUAGACGGCUUUCUGGACCAUUGCUGACGCUGAGACACGAAAGCGUGGGUAGCAAACAGG
rnacentral:rRNA from 1 species